rnacentral:miRNA from 1 species
CACAGAAGCAUGCCGCAGCCAUAC